AGUGAACGCUGGCGGUAGGCCUAACACAUGCAAGUCGAACGGCAGCACAGUAAGAGCUUGCUCUUACGGGUGGCGAGUGGCGGACGAGUGAGGAAUACAUCGGAAUCUACUUUUUCGUGGGGGAUAACGUAGGGAAACUUACGCUAAUACCGCAUACGACCUACGGGUGAAAGCAGGGGAUCUUCGGACCUUGCGCGAUUGAAUGAGCCGAUGUCGGAUUAGCUAGUUGGCGGGGUAAAGGCCCACCAAGGCGACGAUCCGUUGCUGGUCUGAGAGGAUGAUCAGCCACACUGGAACUGAGACACGGUCCAGACUCCUACGGGAGGCAGCAGUGGGGAAUAUUGGACAAUGGGCGCAAGCCUGAUCCAGCCAUACCGCGUGGGUGAAGAAGGCCUUCGGGUUGUAAAGCCCUUUUGUUGGGAAAGAAAAGCAGCAGGUUAAUACCCCGCUGUUCUGACGGUACCCAAAGAAUAAGCACCGGCUAACUUCGUG
rnacentral:rRNA from 1 species